CACAGGGAGCUUGCUCCUGGGUGACGAGCGGCGGACGGGUGAGUAAUGUCUGGGAAACUGCCUGAUGGAGGGGGAUAACUACUGGAAACGGUAGCUAAUACCGCAUAAUGUCGCAAGACCAAAGAGGGGGACCUUCGGGCCUCUUGCCAUCAGAUGUGCCCAGAUGGGAUUAGCUAGUAGGUGGGGUAACGGCUCACCUAGGCGACGAUCCCUAGCUGGUCUGAGAGGAUGACCAGCCACACUGGAACUGAGACACGGUCCAGACUCCUACGGGAGGCAGCAGUGGGGAAUAUUGCACAAUGGGCGCAAGCCUGAUGCAGCCAUGCCGCGUGUAUGAAGAAGGCCUUCGGGUUGUAAAGUACUUUCAGCGAGGAGGAAGGCAUUAAGGUUAAUAACCUUGGUGAUUGACGUUACUCGCAGAAGAAGCACCUGCUAACUCCGUGCCAGCAGCCGCGGUAAUACGGAGGGUGCAAGCGUUAAUCGGAAUUACUGGGCGUAAAGCGCACGCAGGCGGUCUGUCAAGUCGGAUGUGAAAUCCCCGGGCUCAACCUGGGAACUGCAUUCGAAACUGGCAGGCUAGAGUCUUGUAGAGGGGGGUAGAAUUCCAGGUGUAGCGGUGAAAUGCGUAGAGAUCUGGAGGAAUACCGGUGGCGAAGGCGGCCCUCUGGACAAAGACUGACGCUCAGGUGCGAAAGCGUGGGGAGCAAACAGGAUUAGAUAUCUCUGGUAGUCCACGCCGUAAACGAUGUCGAUUUGGAGGUUGUUCUCUUGAGAAGUGGCUUCCGGAGCUAACGCGUUAAAUCGACCGCCUGGGGAGUACGGGUGCAAGGUUAAAACUCAAAUGAAUUGACGGGGGUCGCACAAGCGGUGGAGCAUGUGGUUUAAUUCGAUGCAACGCGAAGAAUCUUACCUACUCUUGACAUCCA
rnacentral:rRNA from 1 species